CCAGUGUUUCUCAACAGCUGGUCCGCGGACCGGCAGCGGUCCGCGGAGGCUUGAGUGCCGGUCCGCGACUAGGAAGGCAGGGCUCCAAACUGAAUACGCUUGUUUUUCUAUCCGCUUUUCUCUCCGCUGUAAAAGUUUUUCUCUCCCCGGAAAUUCCGAGGCUCCUGGAACGUCAGUGGCCAAUAGGGGUGGAGCAGGGGCGGGGCUUGUGCCGAGGCGGGAAGAUAGCCCAGUCAGUGAGUGAGUGAGUGGAGAAAUUGGGUGGUUGCUGGAAGGUGGUUUUUUGAGAUCUUUGAAGGGGGAUGCUUGGUGCCUGACUGUGCCUGUGCCGCCGCCGUCGACUGCUUCUCCUGCUCUUCAACUAUCGGGGACUCACGCGAGGGAGUGGAGAGCAGAGCAUUGAGGAUAAAUAAGCCAGUAGUGCUGUGCAUGGCCACAGAGUUGGGAUGCUGCACAGAAACACUGACCUGCAAACGGAGGCAGUCCCCGGAUCCCAUCCCAUCCCCCCCCCCGGGAAAAUGGCCCUGUUCCAAGUUUCUUCGCUCAGCACUCGACAAAAGUUGCUCCCAAAGUGCCACUCCUUAAUCUGGCUUUCCCUGGCGCAGACUCCUCACCCUGACUCCGCUCUUUGCGGGCUUUCCUCCCUCGGCCCUGCCCAAUCCCUGCCUCUUGUUGCUCCCUCGCCUCUCUGCCCUCAAACCCCACUCCGACCUGCUAGCCUCUCCCUUUCGCCCGCCCUCGCUCGCUCUUACUCCUCCUAGCCGCUUCUUCUGUUCCAGCCCUUUCUCUGUUUUGGCGACGCCUCGCUUCCCUCUUCUUCCGCUACAACUCUGAGUCUCCUGCAACUUUUCUUUUGCAGUCCCACGUUACGUGGGCUUAAAUAAGCCAGCAGUGCUGUGCAUGGCCACAGAGUUGGGAUGCUGCACAGAAGCACUGGCCUGCAAACAGAGGCAGUCCCCGGAUCCCAUCCCAUCCGCCCCCCGCGAAAAUGGCCCCGUUCCAUCUCCGAGCCGCGCGGUCUGAGGGCUGCGCCGACCUGCUGCGCCUCAUAAAGGAGCUUGCUAGAUAUGAAGAAAUGGAGGAUCAAGUAGUACUGACUGGGAAAGAUCUGCUUGCUUGAGGAUGGCUUUGGAGAACACCCUUUCUACCACUGUCUUGUUGCAGAAGUACCAAAAGUUUGUCAUCUCUUUGCCAUUCACAAAUACAGCCCCAAUAUUGCUUUUGGGAGAAAGUAAUGCAAGCAUUCAAAUAGUGCUUGAAUGUGUUCUAUUUUAAUGAUUCUUUUUUUAUAUGCAUGUACUAAGAGUCUCCUUGGAAUUUGGGAAUGCAUACUUUCCAGUAAGCAGACAUGGCUCUUAUUUAUGGCUACAUGGAAAGGAAGAAUAUUGUUGGUUUUCAUACCAAGGUUUUAUUUUGAAUAUCUCAUUAUCAGACUUCUUCCUCUGCUCCUAAAAUAUUUGAAUAUAAUGUUCACAUUAACAUUGUGUGCAUUUUGAUAUGUAAAUAGUAUGUAAAUAAAAUACAGUUUAUUGUUUAACAAAUUUUAUUUUAUGACAUUAUUUAAUUUCUUAAUUAAUUUCUUGUGUAAAUAGUAUGUAAAUAAAAUAGUUUAUUGUUUAACCAA